ACUCCUCCCAUGACUCCCCCUAUCUUAAUGGGUCUGUUGUGUAAUGGAGAAGCGCAACAGGCAACAUGGGUAGGGUAUGAAUGCUUGCCAUCCUGUACCGUGCCGGUCAAUGGAGAAGCACCAUAAGAAGGCUGAUCCACAACCAGUAGCUCAAUGCAAUUUAUUGAAUCCUGGCAAGAAGAUGCGGCUACAAGCUCCCCUCUGCCUUCCCCUGCUAAAUCCAGAUGGGUCACCAAAAAAGCUUUUUAAAGCCCUGAAGACCCCCAAUGGAGUGGACGGAGAAACACGACGGAAUUCUCUGCAGAGAAAUACUCGUCACAGAGCCGUUCAUAUUCAAGAAAGGGAGUGUUGACAAGGAAAAGGUGCACACGCAGUGGGUAUGCAGGGUCCCCGUUCACACACAUCCGCUGGCCACCUGGGGAAACUGCGUGCUCUUCCAGAACAGGUGAACUUGUCAGGAAUCCCAAGAACAUCUGCCAGCACUUUCUGCCAUCUGCCACGCGUUUUCUUACGCGAAACUCGGCAAGACACUCAUCGUCCUCCAUGUCAUCCAGAUCGAAACGCGAGUACAUUUUGCAUGGUAAAUCUAAGUUGAUAGAUUUGUUUGCGUAAUACAACAAUAAAAUCCCCUCUUCUGAAACUAAGAGAUCAUCGAAAGCAUAAAGCAACUCCUCUCUGGCCCUUUUAAAUGACAUUUUGAAUUUACAGCAGAAUUACAGGGUAAUAACAUUAUUGUGUUUAUAUUCCGCCACCCACUGUCAAUUUUGAUGCGUUGCUAUAGUGACCGGUCAGCUGUUCGAAGCACCUUGCUUAGUGACUGCUAUGGAUUUGACGGCUACGGUGACAGAUCUAUUUCCGGUCACCGUAGCCAUCCCAAAAUCCAUUGUUGCUUACAUUACAUUACAUUACAUUACAUUACAUUACAGGCAUUUAGCAGACGCUCUUAUCCAGAGCGACGUACAACAAGUGCAUCAGUUCAAGGUGC